UGAAAUUUCACAGGAUUGUCAGUGUAAGAUGGAGGUUGGAGAGUGAAUAACCUACUGGAGAUUGAAAUCAUUGUGUGGGUGGCCAAUGUCGGUCCUGCAGAGCCACAGUCCUGCUGAGUUCAGCUCCAACCCAAAUCAAACACACCUGAAUAUACUAAUCAAGGUCUAAUAGUUACUGGAGGUGAGCUACAGGCAGUUAAGACACAAUGUUGGCAUGUUCUGAAGGAAUUUGAUUCUUAUUUUAUUCACAAACGAUCUGUGAGUUUGAGGAUUAAUAGUUAAUUGCUUUUUCAAGUGCUUCCUUGUCGCUGGAAAUG